AUGGAGAUAUUAGCUAACACUACAGUGCAAGGUGGAAGACCUCAAGGCUUCCAAGGAACACCAGUCUGGGCCCCGUCCCGCUCUUCGCCAUCUGGCUCCAACUAGUAAUGCUCCGACCUCUCGCAGCCUCCCUACUACCGCUCAGAGAGUCGGGUCUGAGUGCCCGGACCGCUUGGCUGUGGACUUUGGUGGGGCUGGCGCCGCCCAGCAAGGGCUGACUGACAGCUGCCAGUCUGGAGGUGUUCCCCCAGCCGUGCAGACCUUAGCACCUCGUGCUGCUGUCGCUGCUACUGCCCCUCGGGCUGUCGCACCUUACAAAUACGCCUCCAGUGUCCGCAGCCCUCACCCUGCCAUCCAGCCCUUUCAGGCGCCGCAGCCUGCGGUCCACGCGCAGGGGCAGGAGACCCUGACCGCCUCCAUGCUGGCCGCAGCACCCUCCCAGGAGCAGAAGCAGAUGCUGGGAGAACGUUUGUUCCCGCUCAUCCAAACCAUGCAUUCAAACCUGGCUGGGAAAAUCACGGGCAUGCUGCUGGAGAUCGACAACUCUGAGCUGGCUGCACAUGCUCGAGUCCUCCGAGUCGCUCCGCCCCAAGGUGGAUGAAGCUAUGGCGGUUCUGCAGGCUCAUCAUGCCAAGAAAGAAGCUGCCCAGAAGGUGGGCGCUGUUGCCGCUGCUACCUCUUAGCCAAGGAAAAAACGAUUCAAAAGCCAAAUAACCCCUCCUGGAAUUCAGCUCAAGGUUUGAAGAUUUCUAGCGUGUCCUAUGGACCUGAACACCAAGAACCACAAACUGGAAAUUUAAUAGGUCAUUUUGUAUCAAAAGGUCAAUUAUGAAGCACCUAGAAUUUUUCAAUUAAAAGAAUAUAUUCUCUGGGUUCUGCUAUGGCCCAGACAGUGUUAACUUUUUUUUUUCUAUUGUGGGUUUUG